UUUAAAAAAAUAUUCCAAAAGAUGAGAAAACACGCAAGUUUUUAGCUAUAAAAAACGCUUUAGCUAGAAUGUCUGGCCCGGUUGUACAGUACCAAUUUUGAUCGGCUACAGUAUUUCUAAUAAAAAAACUCCCGCAGUACGUCCAUUAUAGGUGAUAUGCGCUACAUAUUAAAAACAUUAACGUACGUAGAAGUUGUGACUGCUCGCCUAUGCCACAUCGCAAUUUACUGUCGCUCAAUUAACACAUCCCCAGGGUAAACUCUCGAUGACUUUUUCCUUGCUUCGUCUAGAAGAGAGCCGCAGCCGCCUCGAGCAAUGGAGUCCGACUCCUCUUUUUCUCUCCGCACGCAACCUCUCCUUUCCUCUUCUCCUAGGGUUGUGCCGCCGCCGCAACCCAUGCCAGCUACUCUGACGCCAUCCACUAGAGAAAGCAUCCUCCCCAGAUCUGCUUCUCCCCCAAACCAUCUCAUCUUCUAAUUCCACCCGGUCACCAUGAUUGUUGCAGAGGAGGAGGAGGAAGGGGAUGGCAAAAUCUCGGGAGAGAAAAAACCCGGCAAGCAAGCGAGAAGGAUGUCAUGGCAGACGUACAUUGACGAGCCGCUGCUCUGCGACAUCGACGGCCAGUGCCUCACUGCCGCCCCAUCUCGGCCACGACGGCGCUGCCUGGGCACAAUCCGAGUCCUUCCCCGAGCAGGUCAAACCUAAAGAACUUACUGCAGUAAUAAAUGACUUCGAUGAACCACACACUUUGGCACCAACUGGAUUAUUCCUUGGUGGUACAAAGUCGCCAUGAAGGCAGCCAACGCACGCGACCUCCCUCUCUCUCGCUUCCUCUCCCAUGUAACCCGCCGCCACUAGCGUCCCCAGUGGGAGAGCAACUGGGUACACCGACAUCGUCGCACCUCGAGGAAGGAGUGGGUGGAGGUGAAACUGGGUGGGAAGAGAAGGCGGCGGCAGAGUUCGCUGCAGUUUCUAUUUGUCAUCUGCCUCGAUGCUGGAGGCGGCAGAUCCAUCCAGUCGAAGUGGCUACCGAAAGGGGUGGAGGAAGAAGCCAUUGUUGACUGGCUAAGGGUCAGGUCAGGAGGAUCCGCCGUGCUUGCCACCAGAAGAAGGGACCCUCUUGUGUCCCGCUUCUCCCCGAGUGUCGGCCACGCGGAUAGGCCGCUAGAAGCGCCUCGAUGCCGAGUACUAGCUCGACGGCGAGAUCGAACGGGAAAAGUUCGGCUCCAUUCGGAUCUGCCGUGCCAACGCCGGCGGCGAGGAGUUCACAACUCCCCAACAAUGGCAAGGAUACGGUAGACUGCGUGGCCGACAUCAUGCAGGCAUGUAGCACCUCCCGGGCCACCCUGGCGACAUCACGCUCAAGGCCGUCUGCGAGGACAUCGGCAAGUUCUACCUCAUCAUGGAGCUCUGCAACGGCGACCGCUUGCUGGACGAGAUGGCCAGGUAUGUUACCUUCUUUGAGUUGCAAGCCACAUUUGUGAUCAAGGAUCUCAUGUUAGUGGUGAAGUACUGCCACGAAAUGGGCGUCAUCCACAGGGACAUUAAGCCAGGAUAUAUUUUGCUCACCGGAAACAUGGAAGAUGAAACUAGCAGAUUUUGGAUAGGCAGCAUGAGUCACUAACGGAAAUUUUUUGCUAAUAUCUGAAGCUUUCUUCGCACAUCAUGUUUAUAUGGAGCCAUCUUGGUACAGUUAUAUUCUUCAUAAUAGGAAAGGCCAAAGAGAAAUUUCCAUGUCUUGGUGCAUUUUAAUUUCAGGUACCACUACAAUGUUGCAAAUGAUAGAUUAUAUUCUUAUAAGCUUAGUUUCCUCAAAACUUUGAUCUUUAAUAAUGGAUGUUUCCUUCA